AGCUAUCACUGAAGGAGGGGAUUGCGUCUGAUUAGAUAGUUGGAGGGGUAACGGCCCACCAAGGCGAUGAUCAGUAGCCGGUCUGAGAGGAUGAACGGCCACAUUGGGACUGAGACACGGCCCAGACUCCUACGGGAGGCAGCAGUGGGGAAUCUUCCGCAAUGGACGAAAGUCUGACGGAGCAACGCCGCGUGAGUGAUGACGGCCUUCGGGUUGUAAAGCUCUGUUAAUCGGGACGAAUGGUUCUUGUGCAAAUAGUGCGAGGAUUUGACGGUACCGGAAUAGAAAGCCACGGCUAACUACGUGCCAGCAGCCGCGGUAAUACGUAGGGUGCGAGCGUUAUCCGGAAUUAUUGGGCGUAAAGAGCUCGUAGGCGGUUUGUCGCAUCUGUCGUGAAAGUACGGGGCUUAACCCCGGAUCUGCGGUGGGUACGGGCAGACUAGAGUGCAGUAGGGGAGACUGGAAUUCCUGGUGUAGCGGUGGAAUGCGCAGAUAUCAGGAGGAACACCGAUGGCGAAGGCAGGUCUCUGGGCUGUAACUGACGCUGAGGAGCGAAAGCAUGGGGAGCGAACAGGAUUAGAUACCCUGGUAGUCCAUGCCGUAAACGUUGGGCACUAGGUGUGGGGAC
rnacentral:rRNA from 1 species